AGGAACGUUUGAGGUAAGGGGGACUCUUCAGGACUGGACUCUCCCCCUGGAUGCAUCUUGUGUUCCCCACUGGCAGACAGGCUGCCGCUGUGCCACUCGAGAGCCACACCCAGCUUCGCUUGUAGGUCGCAAUGAACAUAUGCUGCACUCCAGGAACUGCACACACACAAGAAGGCCCCUUGUCCAGUACUGUGGUGAAACUGGUGUCCUGCUUCUGUGCUAGAUGAGACCUCUCAGAUGGUUUGCUGAUACCCAUAUACUUGGAUGUGGCUUGAUAUCAUAAAUCCACUGGAUAGAUAAGUUGCUGUCCACCAUGAUUGUGCCCUCACGAGGGACAGCAGGGUCCAGUGGACAAGGCCCUGGGAUUCCAAAGACCCAUGUUCUAUUCCUGGCUGUAGCGUGGAACUGCCAUAUGACCUUGGGCAAGACCCUUCACCUCUCUGUGGGUAUGUCUACACGACGAGCUACAGGUGUGAUUUCCCUGCUCACAUGAACAUACUCGAGCUAGCUCAAUGAGAACAAGAGCCAGUAUAAAUAGCAGUGUAGCCCCAGGAGCAGCAGUGAAGGCAUUGCUUAGCCAUGCCAAAGUACCUACCCACCAGUUUCAGGCCUAGUUCUGGGCCAGUAUAGCAAAAAAUAAAUGUGAAUAUUCCUGCACCGCUUCCUCCACUGUGGAUACCACAGUUACACUGCUAUUUAUACUCACACUAGCUCGAUGAGUGCUAACAAGUAUUUGUACAUGAGCUGGGGAAUCACAACCCCUAGGUCACAGUGUAGAUGCAGUCAGUGCAUCCUGUUUCUCCUCCCAACUUUUGUCUGUCUUGCCUCUUUAGACUAUCAACUCUCUCGGGCCAGAACUGUGUUUUACUAUGUGAUUGCACAGGCUCUCUCACACUGGGUCCCGAGCUUGGUUGGAUCUCUAAGCUAUCUUCUGCAACAGAUUAUGAUAUGGACAGGACAGAUCUUGGGAUUUGGGGGCUGGCCAGUGAGACAAUACUUGAGGACACACCUCAAAUUUAACUGACUCAUUUUACAUUAUAAAAAAGUAUGGAAGUAGACAGGGGGGAAGAAGGAGGAAGUAGACCGCUGGAAGAGGAGGAAUCGUGCAGUUCCCUUUUCCCAUUCCAAGCUUCAGGCGGUAGGUCCUAGCGGCCUGUUCUUUUCUUCCUGAAUGAAGCAGUAGACUUUUUUGUUAAACUGGAAGUCUCAUUAUUUCCAGAUGCCCAAAAUCAAACGGCUGUGGGACUUGUGCAUCUCAAAGGCUAGCUCUUCCACUGCCAGUCCCCUGAAUAACCAUAAUCAUUACAGCUGGUGGAAAAAUGGUGAUUAUUGUGUGAGUGAAAUGUUGGGGGGGGGAGUCCUUUGACAUUUUUAAUCAUUUCCUGUAAUUUUUUCCCCAUUUUUUUCAAUGAAAAACCAAAUCCCAUCAAUUUUCACUUUGAAAACUUUUUGUGCAAAACAAACAAACAAAAACCUUUGUUUUGGGGUAAAAAAAAAGUUUGUUUUUUGAAAGCCAAAACCUAUUUUUCCCCCCACUAAAAAAAACCAAAAAUGUAAUUAACAAUAAUUUUCAUGCCAAGAUUAUCAUUUCCAAAGUAAACCUUUUCUCUUCUAAAUUAAUUUGACAAAAUAUGUCAAUGUGCUUUGAUGGACUAGGCAAUUUUUUUUUGUUUAAAAUGAAAUGUUACAGAUGGCAUAAAAGUGAGUGUACCAUCAAAAGCAUCAAAAUGCUUCUCCUAACUUGGAAAACAUAAAGAUACUUUAACCACUGCUCUCUGAUCCUCUUUCCCCACAGUCAAAAGGCCAGCAGCAGACCAUCGCACUGAAAAUCUGCAUUUACCUACCUACUGUUGUCUUUAGAGUGAAUAAAUGAUGACCUGUUCCCCCCUAUAAGCUCUUUGGUGGAUGGCAGGCAUACUCCCGUCAUGGCAUGUCCUUGUGAGGGAUGGUACUAGGUAGAGUCUCUAAUCAUCUUGGAUGGAGGGUGACGAUUGACAUGGGUGAUAAGAUAUGUCACCCAUACAUUACAAAUGAUAGCUCCACCAGCUCAAGAAAUGUGCAAUAUUAUCAUCAGUUUAUAAACUUCUUGAUGGUGGUGCCUAAGGACAACCCAGGGCUAAAGUCCCAAGAAUAAUAAGAGACAUACUAGUUUUGCCUUGAUUGGAUUAGAAAGAGCAUACAUAACAUGGCUGCUUCAUUUAAGAAUAUGAUUCAAAGGAUGCACUCAAAAGCAAGUCUUAGGCCCAACCAAUCAGGGAAUAGAUACCAUGUGAUUUCAGCUAUUUGACUGCCAUCAUAUAAUCAAGAGCAGCUUGAAAUUCAAAACGCACUACACAAUCUGAAUCCAGAGAGCGCAAACAAAUCUGUAUCCAAACUGUGAUGAAAGCUUGGUUGAUGAAAGACAUUUUGUAUUUAUCACUGAGGAAGGCCUGUAAACUUAAAACUGGGUGAACUAUGAGUACUUUAACUUUUACUCUGAAUACGAUACCUCUAAUCGUUACUACUCUCACUGGAUUCAAGCUAACAGUCUAAAAAUGAAUACCAUAAUGUCAGUCUCUUUAGUCAUUUAGGCCAUGUACUAUGAGUGUAUUAACUAUAUGUACAUUUGUAAGCUUUAUAAUUAAUAUAAGAAAUCAUAAAACACUCCUACGAGAGAGAAAUAUGUAGGAUCAGAUUGCGAGCCCAUAAUGGCAUUGGGGAGCAGUUACUCACAUGAGUAAUAUCAUUGAUUUCAGUGAGACUACUCAUGUGAGUAAGUCAUCGCAAGCAUGAUUAAUAGGCUCUUGCAACCUGGCCUGUAGGAAGCAAACAGGAUGAGAUUUUUUUUUUUAAAUUAGGCAUGCAGUACGUCACCAAAAUGCAAGCACAACUGCGUGUCUUGUUUUUGGAGACCAGUUACCAUAACUGCGUCUUUAUAUUAGGCAAUUGCACAUGCAAAUAACUAAUGGUGCCAAUCUAGAUUUGCGGUUACUCAGUUGGGGCUAGAUUCUGCUACUCUUAGCAAGCAAAACUAAACUCCUCAAGGGCCCACUGAUUUCAACAGAAGUACUCCACUUGCGGAAGGGCAUUAGGAUCCAGUUCUUGUGUGCCUAGUCAUGGUGAUGAGACAUGGGUAUUAGGCACACAGAUUGGGGGUUCAGCACUCACUGAAAUCAUAUGGGAGUUUUCCCAUUGGCUUUAGUGGACUUUGGGUCAGCACUUUGAUGGGCACGUGUCCAACUUAAAAAAAAGAUCAGGCACAGAGUAUCUAAGAAAAAUCCUACUCUGCUUUAUAUUUGUUUGACUGAGACAGAAUAAUCAAAACAAAGAGAAUGUGUGAAGUCACUGAGAACUCUAGUAGAUUUCAUGUCAGUGACUACAGUAUGCUAAUCCCUGCUGUCUGCAUUGCUACGAACUGGCAG